GACGAACGCUGGCGGCGUGCUUAACACAUGCAAGUCGAACGGAAAGGCCCUGUUCUUGUGGCGUGCGCGAGUGCCGCGCACGUGUGUAUCACGCGAGUAACCUCUCCUUGACAGUGGGAUAACUUCUUGAAACACGGGCUCUUAUCCCAUAUAAGAUCUUGCUGCACGGUGUGUGAUGGUGAGAUACGGCGUUUCGGGAUGGAAUCGCGGUUUAUCAGCUUGUUGGUGGGGUGGUGGCUUACCGAGGCUAUGACGGGUAGCCGGCCUGAGAGUGUGACAGGCCCCAUUGGGACUGAGGUAGGGGCCAGAGGCAUACGGGAGGCAGCAGUGGGGAACAGUGCGCAAUAGGCCGAAGCCUGAUGCAGCAACUCCGGGUGCGGGAAGACGGUCGUCGGGGUGUAAACCGCGUUCGCGUGUAACGAAGAGUGAGUGACGGUAAUGGGUAAAGAAGCAACGGCUAACUACGUG
rnacentral:rRNA from 1 species